GAAGGGUGGAGGAGAUUGAAAAGUGAACCAGGGAAAGGAGGAUCCCAGGAAGUGUGGAGGAGGCCAGGCGUGCCCUACAGGAAGCCAGACAACAAUUAGAUGCUCAGCACUCGGCCUCUCAGGCGGAGCUGGAGAGAUUGUGGGACCAAGAGGCCCUCAGCAGUUCCAGAGUCAAGUGUCUCUUACAAGAUUUGGAAAAGGAGCUGUUCAGAAGCAGACAGGACGAGCUGGAGACUGCUUUGUCCCUUCAGCUUUCUGCCGAAGAACGGGAAGAAGUCUGCCAAAUCAAGUAAGCAGCGCUUGAACAGACCUGGCUGUGUUUGUUUAACCCCGAGCGUACGAGCUGACCGUGAGCAGUGUGUCCGUGUCCAGGCGUGAGCUCCAGGACCUGCAGCGUCUGUACAGGCCCGGCUCCUUCAGCAGCAGGAGGGCCUUAACCUGGACACGCAGAGAGUCCUGCGCAGCCGAGAGGAGGCCCACACGGCACACACCGUCUCCUUCCAGAAGGUACAGGAGCGCAUCUGUUGUGUGAACUCAGCGGCUGUCCUCACAAGCGAACACGGCGCCCCUAGGGGGGGUGAACUCGUGCUCUAGCAAGGACUAAACUGCAUUAACCGAGCUUGUCCUUCACUGUCUGUUUCUGCUGUGACAGCUCCACAGCGAGCUGAGCGUGUCAUACCAAGCCCAGGAAGAGCUCUGCCAGAGAGAUCAGCAGAUCCGAGAGCUCCAGGCACAGCUGCGGAGCUUCACAGCAGCCGUGGGGCACGCGAGAACGCCGGGAGUGAGAUGAGCAAACACUGGGCUGCUAACAAGAGCCUGAGGGCUCAGUUAGAUGAAAGAGAUCAGACGCUGAAGGAGCUGCACCAGAGGUAAAUGCUCUCUUUCACCCUUCUGCGGUCUUUCUCUUUCCCGUGCUGCGCGUCACGUGGGCAGCGUCUGAUUCCACCGUGCGGCCGACUCCAGCAGCGUCUCUAGAUCUCCAGACCCGUGAAGCUGGCUGUGGAUAGAGACAGGUUGGUGUUUCAGAGAGGGAUGUGACGAUGAAGAGGCAGCUGGUGGAGGAUCUCAGAUGCAGACUAUAGAUCUGCCAGAACACUGAGACGAGCCACAGAUCAGCGGCUGAAGACUUGGAGAAGAAAGAAGGUCCUGCUCCGACAACAGCCGCUCUACUAGCAACCUGGAAUUAAUUAUUCUCUCUGCCGUUAUUGAUUGUGUCACUCAUCCACAGUCUGAACGUCCUAGGCUUCUACGUUUCUCUGUCUGUUUAAAAAUAUCGAAGUAAUUGAAUUGCUUUUCUUUUUUUAGAUGGAAUCUCUCACUGAUGAGGCAGCUUACCGAAGAGAAGAUUGACAGAUGCCACUGCAGAACAAAACCAGCAUGAGGCAACCAGCCAAAAACUCAAAGAAGAGCUUCAGAGAAAGGUUCAAGAGCAUCUGUACAUCACUCAGGAAUCGUAAUGCUUUUUUUGGGCUUGUCCUGCGUUGUAUUGCAGGAUGGCUUUUUCUUUCUCUUUCUUUAUUCACCUAAUUACCAUCAGUCUCGUUUGAUGUUUGGCGCCAAAUGCCAUACUUUGCCCCAGUUUCAUCGUUCAGUUCAUUCUAUCCGUUAUAUACUAUCUCCUAAUUGGUGAAACGCUUGUUAAGUGUGUUUAUUCCUCAGGAGCAGAGAAUGGCCGUCCUAGUCAUCACUGGGAAUGUAACGAUUCACUCAACUCGAUUUAUUUUUCUUUUUUUACAAAAUUAGAUUUAAGACAAAUUAUAAAUUAAAUGUGUCCUUUUAUUAUUGCUUGGACAAAAUGCUGCAUGUUUCUUUGUGAAAUUGAAAUGUAACACUAUAAUAAUAUACUAAAAUAGCACUUAUCACUGUUCUUUUGUUGGUUUUGAUUGCUUCUAUUGUCCUCAUUUGUAAGUCGCUUUGGGUUGAAGCAUCUGCUAAAUGACUAAAUCUAAAUAUAAUGUAAAUGUAAAUAACAAAACUAAAUUGAAAUUUAAAAAUAAGUAACACAAAUAAAAGAAAUCUUGGUCUGUGCUCUUUCCAUUUAAAAUGAGAGGCAACCACUGCAUUUUAAUCAUGAGCAGUUUUUAAUCUAAAUUAGAUUGUAUAACUUUAAAUUUAAAGCAAAAACAGAAUGGUUUGACUUCAGUUUUGUGAAACUAUACAUAAAAAAUAUUUGCAUGAAGCAGAAACUGAAACAGCAGAUGAGCUGAACGAGACGCAGAUUCACUCUCUGCCAGCAGGUGGCGCUUAAAGUGUUUCCUUGGUUACCG
ensembl:lncRNA